UAGCUCAGUUGGUAGAGUGUUUGCCUCACAUGCACAAGGCCCUGGAUUCAAUUCCCAG
rnacentral:tRNA from 1 species